AGCACACCACAGAGGUCACCGUGAAGAAGUCUGGAAGCCUGCUUAUAAAUUCUGGGAUACAAGGAUACUCCCUGCUAAAGAUAACUCAGUCUGGAUUUGAAGGAUUCAUGAGGGAUCGCUACACUCUUCUUCCUGAAACAAGAGAAAGAAUUGUAGCUACAGAAGUAACUGCUUGGUGGAGCAGAUGAGAGGCUGGAAUGUUCCAUCCAAAUAGUUUAAUCAGAAACUGCACUGGCAAAGGUCUAGAGGAUGUAGAGGAGCUCCAGUUUGAUCCUAAGGAUGGCAUUGCUUUUUUUUCUUCUUAUGCUCCAGUUUGCAGCAACAUCUCCGACACCCUCUCGACGAAUUGCAGGUAGAUUGUAGCUGAGGAUGCGGCGAUGACCACCGAGGACCGGAGUGCAUGCUCGGUGGCAGAAGCAUCAGGGUGCUCCACGCUCAACAUCUUCUCAGCAUAGCUGCUCGAUCAGUAGUUUUGAUUGAUCUAUUUGAUAAUUUAAGCCAUCCAGUUGAUGUUCUUGGUUCGCUCAUGCUCUUUUCUUAUGUUGUUGUUUAAUCACUAUUGGCUUGGAUAUUCUCUAUAGCAUCUCAACAAUUCACUGCAACUGGCCAGGUUAUUCUGUAUAUUUGAUACUGUACGAGAGUAGCAGUCGGACUCAAAAAAUCACAACAUUCUGCAGGUCCAAAUUUACAUUGAUCGUUUAGUGGUUCAUCGAAAUUGUUCUGCCUAUGACUUUGAAAUUGGCCAGUAAAAGCCAACAUCCACCCUCUUCACAGCCGCAGUCAGGGAUUCGUUCAUUUUAGUGUGAGUAAGGAUGGGAACAUUGAUCUAUAUAUGGUAAUAUUUCAUGCUGAUUUCAUUUCUCAUUUCAUUGAUCAUCCGUGUUACUCCUUUGACAAAUGAUAUUUAUAGUACUUCUGGAUGACAAAGACUUUGAGUUCUGUGUGAAGCUCCAAAAGGAAUACCUAUAAGACUCCUUCAUCAACUUAGUAAGAUUGCAUAUGCCCUUUGCGUUGCACAGGUCCAACGCCUCGCUCCUCUACUCAUAGUGAAAAAAACUUAGGUACUCUGAAAUUUAUCUUUUCUUCCCCUCAUGCUUUGUUAGGUUAGAUCAAUAGUUUUAUCUUAUUGGACCUGUGCAUUUUGAGAGUCCGAAAUGGGAACAUUAAAUUUACUUGGACCCUAUCUUAUUCUCAUAUCUGUAACUAGCUUUGCUUGUCAUUUAGAAGGGAUGACCUAAGGAGUAGAGAGAUUCGAGGCAAUCAAAAUCCUGCAUAUGUAUGUUUACAUGCGUUUGAUAAUCCUAUGCCAGGGCCACAUAUAUAGGGACAUUCAAAAUUCUACACCAGGUUUACGUAUAUAGGGACAUAUUCAGCUGAGGUUCACGUAUAUACAAACCUGAAACUGUAUGCUUCAAACCGGAUGUGGCAGUAAUCCACUCAUCAUGCAUAACAAAACAAAAAUCUGUUACCUAGCAUGUAUUUGUUUGUACAGAUGAUGCAAUGUACUACAUUUUGUUUGCAUAAUACAUCACCUAGCAUGUAUUUUUUAUAAUCGAGCACCGCGACGAAUCUGUUAUUUACCUUAGGAGGGUAAGAAAAAACACAAUCAAUGACAUUAUACAUAAUUCUAGACAUUGUUUUAGAGUAUGUUCUGAAGUAUAUUUUUCUUCCAGUAAAUGUUGGAAAUGUCUAUGUACUUUUUUCUCCCAAUAUGUUAUGGUCAUCUUCCUGCUAUGCAUAUAAAUUUCAUGGCCAGCUUACCAGCUGGUGGUUGGCGAUCCUUUCUAUCUUCUUCCUCGCCGGCUCGAUAAAUCUCUUGGUUUCCUUCUCCUACCACUAUUCCUCCCUUGUGCUCUGUAACUCGGCCAUUGAUGUGGCUGUUAGUAAUAAGACGGUAAUAUUUGUUUUAUAGAAAUACUUGUUUUUUUGCGGGUGUUUAGAAAUACUUGUUAGUUGCACAGGUGUACCCUGCAAGGAAUAAUUUUACAAUGGAAAUGCAUAUCUGUUGAAUUGAUGACUAAACAAGUUUGCGGGCACAUCUCUGAAAAUACAAGCAAAUACAGACAUAGAUUUAAGGGUUCUCAUUCAUUUAAAUCUCAAUGUUGAGAGAAGCCGAUCUCUGGAUAUGAGUAUUUUCUUCCCUGUUUGCGUGAUUGUUUAAUUGAAUGGAUAACUGUGUCUCCUGAAUAUUGUCCCAUAUAAUUGUUUUAAAUCUACCGAAUUAGUUCUCUAAAUCAGUUGAUAUUUUGCAAAGCUUCAAGCUUUAGUUUUUGCACUUAAUGACAUCAAUUGUUUGUGCAGAUUCAAGAUUUAUUUCUGUACUGGAUGAUAGCAGUGAUUAGUGAUUACUGUCACAUGCUGCUGUUGUCAUCCAUAUCUCCUCAGGUGCCUUAGGUUUGUGAUGCGAAAGUUGUUCUACAUAUGUAAAUUGCUCUGUUCUUCUUUCGCCAAAUACAUUAAUAAGCCCGCGAUACACUUUGCUUCUUUUUUUAUCUAAUGUCUAUUUGUAGACUAAGUGUUUUAUUUAUGAUAGUGGAUUUCUGGCGUACAUGUGAAUAUCUCAUGUAUAUACAAUCAGUACACUCACCUGAACGAGAAUGUUAGCAAGCAGAGCGGGGUUGCGUCUUGUCCUUCUAGCGUCGAAGGUCCGGUGCACCCAUGGGUGUGCCUUUGCUGGUUUCUGACUGUCACAAAGAAGUCAGAGCUGUGGGCGGCGAGGCCACUGCGGCAACGAUGACUAUGAGAACAGUUUUCAGCAAGCGGUGCUCCCCGAAUGUUGCGUUGAACUACGUCAUUGCGUGGCUUGCAAUCUUCUCCUAUGAAGCCCGUAUGCAAAAUUGAAACUGUCAUGUCCUCGAUGUUGUGCUCGACUAUUCAUUGUUGCUUUGUGGCUCCGUGCUUCCUCUCCACAGUUAUAUCGUUUUUUGUGAUGUAAUCUUAUUAGUGGUUGGGUCAUCCAUGCGAGCCCCUUCUGAAGUUUGUAGUCUAGGUUAGAUACAUCCGUAUGUAGACAAAUUGAAGACAAAUAAUAUGGAAAGGAGGGAGUAUAUUAUUUGACUCAA